GGAUAGAGCAACAGCCUUCUAAGCUGUGGGUCACAGGUUCGAAUCCUGUCCGGAUCACAA
rnacentral:tRNA from 1 species